GCGGGAGCAGAGACAAGGAAAUGCUGUCACCGCUGUUAAACACGCACGUGGAGUUUUGUUAAAGUUGGGACACGUGCAGGCCAUGCGCCGCCGCUUCUCCCCAGGCUGGGCCUCUCCCGCCAAGGCCUGCUCCAUCUGCAGCUGGAUCUGGGUGGGGCUCAGCCCACUGAUGGUGAGGUUGUUUCCAGAAACGUUCUGCACUGUCAGCUGCUGCUGCCCUGUGAGAAGGACAGAGAAGGACACAACUCAGGGCAGGAAGCCUGAAACCUCAGGAACAAGGACUCCUUGGGGAGAGAGCUGAUUUUCAGGGUUGGAGCAGGGAAGACGGAAGAGCCUGGAACAACUGCUGUAUUGGGAAGUAAGGAAAUACAGCAUGGAAGACCUGGCUUAUGUCUUGCCUCCAUCAACUCAAGAUGUGGGACUUCACAGAAAGGAAGGCAACACUGCUGCCAUCUGCACACCUGAACAGGAAAAGUUGGCUGAAAUAAGACUGAAAGAGUGGUUCAGAUGGUACAGCACCUGCCUACCAAGCAAGCAUGACACCCUGAAAUCAAACCCAGUACCACCAGAAGUUUCCUGAAACAAAAUUUGUACUUACUACCAUGUGAUUUUGACAUUUUUCUGCUUUAUAUUAAAAGUGCUGAUUGUGACCCAUUAAAUUGCUUUUAUACUUAACUGGCUGAAAAAUACAGCUUUGGUCUAUAUACUACCAAAGUUUGAGAAAAAGUAAAAAGAUCUAGAAAGUAAGUUAA